rnacentral:lncRNA from 1 species
CUGUUUGCUUAGGGAAGGCAGAAUAGGAUAGAUGCUAAGAGCUGGGGAAGCCAAGGACUUGGGGAUUGCAGCCUUGGAGGCCAUCCCUCCGGGGAUGUCUCUCUCUGCCCCUGUAGUUCAUAGGGCCUCAACCUUAGAGGUCUGGUCUCUUUCUGCCUGGCUCACACACUGUCCUUGUGUACUAAGGGGCUUCCUGACAGAAGAGGGCUCAGAUCACUAUGGAAGCUCUCAGUACUUGAGAGAGAGCCUUUCUUCCAAGAUCUGCUCCAUCUUCUCGAUCACCUGGUGACAAGGUGACAAAGUGACAAGGCUGGGCUGGCUUGAGACCUCACAACUUCUAGGCUGCUGCCCCUCCUCCACAGCUGGCCCCAGCACCUGCCUUCUCCUGGUGCCGUACAGUGUCCUCCAGGGCCUUCAUCUUCUGCAGCUUGUCCUGGUAGCGCCUCAGCUGUGCAGCCUGUGGCUGCUGAGCCUGGUACAGAAGCAGCAGCUCCUUCUCUCGGUCAUUCUUCUGCAGGGUGGAGGCCAAUGGGUACAUGAGUUUCCCCAGCCACGAGGGCACACGAGGGAUCCAUGAGAGUUACUCCAGCCACGAGGGCACACGUGGGAUUCUGUUGAAGCCUGAACUGGCCGGCUUCCCUCCCCACUGUGGACUUUCUCUCUGCUCCAGAUACUUCCCAGGACUGUGCCCGGAGGAGGAGCUGUCCCUCUGUCCAGCCAACCCUAGCUCACCCGAAUCAGCUCAUUUUGCAGGUGCUGCACCCUGUCUCGCAGCCUCUUCAUAUCCAGUUCAUUCAGCAGUAACUUCUGCUUCAUGGACACUGCUGGGGUGGGAAGAAGCUGGCUCAAGAAUAGGUGGAGGUGGCUCCUCAGCAUGCCAUUCUCCUCCUCCAGGAUGUUGGCCUGCUUCUUCAGUGCCAGGAUGUCCUCUGCCAUCUUCUGCAUGGCCCUCCGAAGGAGUCUCUUAGACUGCCCACCAGAGCCACUUGGGGGCUGGACUGCCAUCAGCUUCCCAAAUAGCCCAGCAUCCAAGAAGAGACACCAAGAAGACACUGAAGACUCAGGGAUGCGACGUGACGGGUGCUUCCUGUGGCCGUCCACUGAACCCUCACCGUCCGUACAACCCAGGUUAAACCCUUUCUUCCUGAAGAUGCUUUUGUCUGGAUUUCACACAGCAACGAGAAAUGCAACGGAUGCAUUAGGUCCUGUGGUCUUUCCAGGCAGGGAAAACCCAAUGGCAUCUGGCAGUGACCGAGAAGGGCUGGAUGGGUGUCUUAGUUAGGUCUCUACUGCUGUGAUAAAAGCACUGUGGCCAAAAGCAGCUUGGGGAGAAAAGGGUUUAUUUCAGCUUACAUUGUCCAGGGAAAUCAGGGCAGGAAUUCAAGGCAGAAACUUGGAGGCAGAGCUGAUACAGAGGCCGUGGAAGAGUGUUUCAUGAAGGAGGCUUGCUCGGCCUGCUUUCGUAUAGAGCUCAGAUCACCUGCCCAGUGGUCACUGCCCCCUGUGGAAGGGUCUUUCCAUAUCAAUCAUUAAUCAAGAUGAUACCCCACAGACUUGCCUAUAGGCCAAUCUGGAGGCAUGCUCUCAAUUAAGACUCCUUCCCAGUUAUGUCUUAGAUUUGUAUCAAACUGACCAAAAGCCAGACAGUACAGAGGGUAGCUCGCUUUGCCUGGGGGUAUUCUCCUUGAGUGUCAGGGGAUGGCCCUUGCCCAUCUCAAACCCAGGACAAUCUUAUCAAGCUUGCCUAGUGUCCUGUCUCUGCCACAUCCUCUUCCUUCUCAGCUGCAGGUUCCCCCUAAGUUGAGUGGUCAAAGAGUGGGGUGUAAGAUUUUUCAAAGCAGCCCUGACCACUGUCAUAUAGGGUCUUGGAAAGUGAGAGAGAUGAAGCCUGGUCCCCAAGAUUCCUUCCUCAACUGUCCUCCUCACUCAGGCUUUUUAUAGCUCAGGAAGCCCUUUCUAGACAACCAAGCCUUACACAGCCAACCUAUGGGGUAUUCCCCCUGUUUAGCAGUAAAAGGUGGAGAUUUCCCUGAGCUCUGACUGGGGCGGAACAGUUAGCAGGAACCCUGGGUCAGCAAGCUGCCAGCAAGGGUGUUUGAUAUGUUUGGUGGGGUGCCAAGAGCUGUGUUAGGGUGAGAAGACUAUUCUGGGGUCUCUCAUCCCAUAAAGAAGAGGAAAGACAAAAGGAAGAGGCUUUCACCUUUAGCUUCACAGCCCACCACCAGCAAAGUAGGGAUCAAGAGGGGGUGUCCACAGAGCCUGAUACGGAAGCUGAGAUGCCUCCAGUAGCCCUAAAACAGCCACUUGCAGUCCCUGAGCUACUGCUAUUCAGUGCAGUCCCUGAAGCCCACAUAUUUGCAUAUCUGAGAACAAAAAUAAUUCUGCUGCCGGCUUAGCACCACCAAGGCUGCAGCCCCCUUUUGUCUGUUUGAAUAAGAGCUGGCUAAGGGCGGAAGGAUAAUUAGUCCCCUGUGUGCAGUGUCCCCCAUACCCCCCUUGAAGAUUUAAAGACGCAGUCUAAAUACUCUGUGCUAUACUCCCACAGCUGGCUGACUACGGGAUGUCUGCAUCGGCAGGAGCCGAUAAAUGGGCAUUUUAUCUGAUUAAACUGGGAGUGAACUGGC